UUUGUCAGUCCCAUUUAUUAUUCAGUGUAUGGUUUGCGUGAGACCAUGCCUGCUUGGCAUAACCUCUGAGUUGACUGGUAACAGCCUUAUUACACAACUUUCUCUCAAAGCCUGUCCUACCAGAUUUCUUUGGCAACAAACCAGACCAAAUUCUCGGUAAUGCUUUAACAAAGAAAUUGUUGCAGCCGCCUCCCCUGCUGGUGAUGACCAUAUGCAGCCAAUGCUGAUGUGAACCCGAGUGAUGAACAAAUGCAGAUCUGCAAAGGAGCUGUCCUGAGGCGCCAUGCUUACUCAAGUCAUGCAGCGAGAGUCAGCAUGCCUGGAAAAGUACUUCAAAGCAGACCCCAUCUGGCUGACGCACUACCUCAAGAAAACUGCCUUUCUCCCAUCCGCAAGUUCCUAAGAAGUUACUUUAUGAAGCAAGCCAGCAGGGCGUACGUGUAAGGCAUGGCAGCACGGAGAACAAAUAAACAUGAGU